rnacentral:rRNA from 1 species
UACGUAGGGCGCAAGCGUUAUCCGGAAUUAUUGGGCGUAAAGAGCUCGUAGGCGGUUUGUCGCGUCUGCCGUGAAAGUCCGGGGCUCAACUCCGGAUCUGCGGUGGGUACGGGCAGACUAGAGUGAUGUAGGGGAGACUGGAAUUCCUGGUGUAGCGGUGAAAUGCGCAGAUAUCAGGAGGAACACCGAUGGCGAAGGCGGAUCUCUGGGCCUUACCUGACGCUCAGGUGCGAAAGCUAGGGGAGCGAACAGG